UACAGAGGUCUCAAGCGUUGUUCGGAUUCAUUGGGCGUAAAGGGUGCGUAGGCGGCGCGGUAAGUCGGGUGUGAAAUCUCGGAGCUUAGCUCCGAAACUGCAUUCGAUACUGCCGUGCUUGAGGACUGGAGAGGAGACUGGAAUUUACGGUGUAGCGGUGAAAUGCAUAGAUAUCGUAAGGAAGACCAGUGGCGAAGGCGGGUCUCUGGACAGUUCCUGACGCUGAGGCACGAAGGUCAGGGGAGCAAACGGG
rnacentral:rRNA from 1 species